UACGAAGGGGGCUAGCGUUGCUCGGAAUCACUGGGCGUAAAGGGUGCGUAGGCGGGUCUUUAAGUCAGGGGUGAAAUCCUGGAGCUCAACUCCAGAACUGCCUUUGAUACUGAGGAUCUUGAGUUCGGGAGAGGUGAGUGGAACUGCGAGUGUAGAGGUGAAAUUCGUAGAUAUCGCAAGAACACCAGUGGCGAAGGCGGCUCACUGGCCCCGGUACUAGA
rnacentral:rRNA from 1 species